rnacentral:rRNA from 1 species
UACGAAGGUCCCAAGCGUUAUCCGGAUUUAUUGGGUUUAAAGGGUGCGUAGGCGGCUUAUUAAGUCAGUGGUGAAAGCCCCAAGCUUAACUUGGGAACUGCCAUUGAUACUGAUGAGCUUGAGUAGAUUUGAGGCGGGCGGAAUGUGUCGUGUAGCGGUGAAAUGCUUAGAUAUGACACAGAACACCAAUUGCGUAGGCAGCUCGCUAAAACUCUUACUGACGCUGAGGCACGAAAGCAUGGGGAUCAAACGG